CCCUAGCCCCGAUGGGAACGGCAUCCUUUUUUAUUUUUUUGGUUCUAAGCUUCAAUUGGAGAGCAAAACGUGAAAAAAAUAAAAAAGAUAUAGUGGACAGCGGGAUUAAGC
rnacentral:sRNA from 1 species